GUGAAUCAUCAAAUUUUUGAACGCAAAUUGCACUUUCUGGUAUUCCGGAAAGUAUGCCUGUUUGAGGGUCAGUUAAAUAAAAAAUCGGUUUAGUUACAAAUUGUGACGUUUCCGGAGUUUGGGCUAUCUUAACAUUUUGGUUUAAAAGGCUUAAAAUGAACUUUUUUUCGGCAUUUUUAAAGUAACUUAAUUUUUUUUUUUUCUUUUUUCUUUAUUGCCAAAUUCUAAUUGUAGCGAAU
rnacentral:misc_RNA from 1 species